rnacentral:misc_RNA from 1 species
AAGUCGUAACAAGGUUUUCGUAGGUGAACCUGCGGAAGGAUCAUUAGUGAAAUUCGGGAGUCCCUCUUAACCGGAGAAGGCCCAACUUACACUUAUUCUUUACACUGUGCAUUUGUCCCCCUCACCAUUUUUUUAACACGUGGUGUCAAUUUAGAACAGUGACUUGAUACAAACGAAAGUUGAUUAUUAAAAUAAAAA